UACGGGGGGGGCAAGCGUUGUUCGGAAUUACUGGGCGUAAAGGGCUCGUAGGUGGCCAACUAAGUCAGACGUGAAAUCCCCCAGCUUAACUGGGGAACUGCGUCUGAUACUGGAUGGCUUGAGUUUGGGAGAGGGAUGCGGAAUUCCAGGUGUAGCGGUGAAAUGCGUAGAUAUCUGGAGGAACACCGGUGGCGAAGGCGGGUCUCUGGGCCGAUACUGACGCUGAGGGGCGAAAGCGUGGGGAGCGAACCGG
rnacentral:rRNA from 1 species